rnacentral:lncRNA from 1 species
GGCCAGAAACUGUUUACAUCAAGAAGCCAUAAACUGUUUACAUAUUGCAAAACUGUUUACAUCAAGCAACCAUAAAAAGGUUUAGCAUCAGAAAAGGAUUAGCUUUCAGCUCAGUUUUGGCAAAUGAAUAAAAGCUAAAGUAACACACAGAGUUGGGGCAAAUUUCUACAUUCUUCCAUUCUACAGAAAAUACAUAACACACAAAGUUGGGAAAAAUUUCCUGCAUCCUUCCACUAAAUAUAAAAAUAGUGAAGCCCAUAUCUUGCAACAAAAUUUAACACAAAAAGUCAAAUUAUAAAAAUCGUUUCAAUUUGUGUUGCCAGCAAAUAAAAACUAAAUUGAGUCCUAAAAAUGAAGUAAAUAAAAAGGAAAAAAAGCUUCUCGAAUGUCUUUCUUGACAAAAAAAGAAGGAAAAAAGCAGAAAUACCCACAAGCAUUUAGAAGAGAAUAAAUCAACAAAAGAACAGACCUAUAAUAGAUGGUUAAUUCUCAUCAUAAUGAAGAUGAUUUUUUAAGAUAAAAAUUCUCAUCAAAUUGAAGUUAGUUGAACUUGAACCUAUUACUACAACACUACUGUAAUUCUCAUCACCAUCCUAAAUUGCCAGGAACCAACCAGGCUAACUGACUGACUAUAAUUAUUUUUAUUUGUGAAAUACUCUAAAUAGAAAGAGAAGAUUUAUUAUCUAAUAUAAAGAUUAUAAAAUGAUAAAUGGAGGAUGAGAAUCCUAUUAAACUAGAAAAAUGGAAAAUAAAAAUUUCUAAUACGAAUCUUAACCUGAUAACAUGUAUCUAUCAGGACAUUUUAUAUCAAAUGCUUAAAGAACUUCUUCAUUUUUAGAUAUAGUAUCCAAAAAUGAAGAUGACAAUUGCUAUUAACUGUCAAAGAAAAGGUUGCAUUGUCCCGAGUAUUUAACAAGAGAAAGAAUGUGCUUAUAUUAAUAUGUAAAAACAGUUUAUUUCUAGUUAUGUCAGUUUGCCACAGGAUAAGAAAGAGCUUGUACCAACAAAUUACUAUCCCAACUAUUUUUACCUUAUCAUAACUCCUUCACCACAAAAAGUCUUUAUACUUUGACAGUUAGUUCUCGCUUUGCUGCCAACUGACUGAAUUUUGACCCAACCAACGGUUUAUGCGUUCAAUUUUAGGAGAAUCCAUAGCUAAAAAAUUCAUAAUUUAUCAAUCAAUCUCAAUCUUAAUAACUACUAUUUUAGGUAAAUUUGGAAGAAAAAAAUGAUUCUAAACCAAAAAAUUAAAUAAAAUCCACAAAAUAAAUCAAACCCAUAAUCCAUGAUCACAAAAAGAAAAAACUAGAAUUAAGAUUGGAACUUUUAACAACUUACCAGAGCAUCAAACAAAAGCAUAACAGCGAGAGCAAUUAGCGAAUCGAGUCCACCAUCGUUUAAAGCUGGGAAAUAAUAGGAUAAAAUGACAACAAAAUAUUUCAAGCCCUUACCGAAUCGAAGUGUGGAACAAGGAGAUCGAACUGAUGAGAUGAAGGAGAUCGAAGUGAGGGCUUGAGGAGGAUUGAAUUGAGGGCUUCCGAUUUUAGGGCUUGAGGGGAUCGAACUGAGAUUUCAAGGGCUUCGAUUUUCUGAAGCUGAAGUUGGAGAAGGAACUCUGGGCUUCGAAGAUUCGAUAAGGGCUUCGAUUUUCUGUUUUGCAGCAAUCGGUUUUCUGAAGAUUUCAAAGCUCGAUUUACUGUUUUGGAAGAACUCUCAGUCGAAAUCCACAAGUAGUGAGGAGAGAUAACUGAAAUGAAAUUAAAAAAACCU